rnacentral:rRNA from 1 species
AUUGAACGCUGGCGGCAUGCUUUACACAUGCAAGUCGAACGGUAACAGGCCUUCGGGCGCUGACGAGUGGCGAACGGGUGAGUAAUGCAUCGGAACGUGCCCAGUCGUGGGGGAUAACUAUCCGAAAGGAUAGCUAAUACCGCAUACGAUCUGCGGAUGAAAGCGGGGGACCUUCGGGCCUCGCGCGAUUGGAGCGGCCGAUGUCAGAUUAGGUAGUUGGUGGGGUAAAGGCUCACCAAGCCAACGAUCUGUAGCUGGUCUGAGAGGACGACCAGCCACACUGGGACUGAGACACGGCCCAGACUCCGACGGGAGGCAGCAGUGGGGAAUUUUGGACAAUGGGCGCAAGCCUGAUCCAGCAAUGCCGCGUGCAGGAAGAAGGCCUUCGGGUUGUAAACUGCUUUUGUACGGAACGAAACGGCUCUGGUUAAUACCUGGGGCUAAUGACGGUACCGUAAGAAUAAGCACCGGCUAACUACGUGCCAGCCGCCGCGGUAACAC